UACAGAGGGGGCAAGCGUUAUUCGGAAUUAUUGGGCGUAAAGGGCGCGUAGGCGGCCAGGCAAGUGGAAGGUGAAAUCCCUCGGCUUAACCGAGGAACUGCCCUCCAAACUGCUUGGCUUGAGACCGGGAGAGGUGAGUGGAAUUCCUGGUGUAGCGGUGAAAUGCGCAGAUAUCAGGAGGAACACCGAUGGCGAAGGCAGGUCUCUGGGCCACUACUGACGCUGAGAAGCGAAAGCAUGGGGAGCAAACAGG
rnacentral:rRNA from 1 species